GGUUCAGGUGCUGCAUGGCUGUCGUCAGCUCGUGUCGUGAGAUGUUGGGUUAAGUCCCGCAACGAGCGCAACCCCCGCCCUUUAGUUGCUACCGGGUCAUGCCGAGCACUCUAAAGGGACCGCCGGCGUUAAGCCGGAGGAAGGUGGGGAUGACGUCAAGUCCUCAUGGCCCUUAUGUCCAGGGCUACACACGUGCUACAAUGGGCGGUACAGAGGGUUGCCAACCCGCGAGGGGGAGCCAAUCCCAGAAAGCCGUCCUCAAGUUCAGAUUGGAGUCUGCAACUCGACUCCAUGAAGGUGGAAUCGCUAGUAAUCGCGGAUCAAGCAUGCCGCGGUGAAUACGUUCCCGGGGCCCUU
rnacentral:rRNA from 1 species